GCAGGACAGCUUCCUGAGGGCCAGGAUAAUCGCUGCUGUGACCAUUGGCGUGAUGCAGCUGGUGGUUCUCAAGCACAUCAACAGGAUGUACGAGAAUAUCCUGAAGAGGGCAGUCAGAAGCCGCCUGAAUGCAGUGGGACUUGAGGAGAAUCUCACAGACACACAAUCAACUAUAUAUAUCGCCGCAGAGACUGAUCCGUCGCCAGUGGUUCUGUGAUACAUUUGUGAAUCGAUUUGCUGCGUAACAUUUCUUAAUUACGGCAUGUUUUUUUAUUACGUUGACAUAAGAUAUUUGUGCCUUCUUCAAGUUGUCUUAAUUAAACUACGAUUACCUUUAUUCGCACCAAGCUUUGUUUUGACAUCACGUCUUACUUGUAGACGACACAAACCAGCACGGUCGGCUUCAACAUCCGUGCGGUGUAGCAAAAUAAAACAAAAUUUGCUAAUCCUA
rnacentral:lncRNA from 1 species